UCAACUGGUCAACCCAUAUUGGCAGUUACACCUGAUAUCAGUUCUGAUUGGCUCAGUCUCCACCCUCAUUGGUUAGUGCCUGCCAUGGCAGUUGGUAACUGUUUUGCAUAUCAUCCCUGCCCAUUAGAGUGAACAAUAUUAGCAAAGGCACUGAGAAGGAAUAAUCUUGGCCUGUUUAUCGAACGUCUAAAGGGACUAUUCAUUUCCCUGGCUACGAGGAUUUUAAAAAGCAAGAAGAAAUUUAUUGGCAGAUCUGAUCACCCUUAUGAGAGAGCAAUCAAGUAAGACAGCAUGUAGCCCCUGGAAAUUGCUGGAAAUCAUCAUGUGGCCCUAAGGAGUGCCAGCCUAACGAUGAAGCAGAAAGAGGGAUGGCGAGAUGACUGAACUGUUGAGUCAAGUCACAUCCAAAGCCCAUGUGGCCUCUGAUCUUUUCAGAUAAAUGAGUUAUUAAAUAUUUUAUUUAAACGGGUUCCCCAAGAGUGCUUGGUCCUUCACUUGCUUACCCAAAGUCAACACUAGGUUCAGGCAUUUUCUAAAGCACUUUCCUAUCUUAGAAUUUCAAUUCCUGAACUUAUUAGACAAUUGUUCAUCAUCUGCUUCAAGUGCCAAGAAGUUGUUGCCUCAGGGUGGCCUCCCUCUACGAGUCUCAUUAU
rnacentral:lncRNA from 1 species